rnacentral:rRNA from 1 species
UGCCAGACUCCUACGGGAGGCAGCAGUGGGGAAUAUUGCACAAUGGGGGAAACCCUGAUGCAGCGACGCCGCGUGAGCGAUGAAGUAUUUCGGUAUGUAAAGCUCUAUCAGCAGGGAAGAAAAUGACGGUACCUGACUAAGAAGCCCCGGCUAACUACGUGCCAGCAGCCGCGGUAAUACGUAGGGGGCAAGCGUUAUCCGGAUUCACUGGGCGUAAAGGGAGCGCAGGCGGCACGGCAAGUCUGGUGUGAAAGCCCGGGGCCCAACCCCGGGACUGCAUUGGAAACUGCCGGGCUGGAGUGCCGGAGGGGCAAGCGGAAUUCCUGGUGUAGCGGUGAAAUGCGCAGAUAUCAGGAAGAACACCGGUGGCGCAGGCGGCUUGCUGGACGGCAACUGACGCUGAGGCUCGAAAGCGUGGGGAGCAAACAGGAUUAGAUACCCGGGUA